AAUAUGCCAAUUUCAUUGGUUUUUGCCACUACUUUUUUAAAAAGGAGAAGUCAACUAUCCUUCAAAGCACUCUUACCUUGUGUAUAACAUACUGUUUCCCAAGACCGCUCUCUCAAGAUUUUCUCUUCCAUCACUGGACGUCACUGGUUUGACUAGAAUGUUCUCAGUAUUAAACCUGAACCAAAGACUAGGAAGGAAAAAAGAGCAAAUGAUGUCUACUCCUCAACACUGCAAGAAGUGAAACAAAUCUAAAAUAUGAUUGAAAUCUAUCAAUAAUACUGACCAUGAAGAGACUGUACAAGAUGUCAUAGAAGGAAAAUAAAGUAUUUAUGUUUUGAACAUC